GGCGGGGCCAGUGCGGAGACUGACAGGGAGCCGUCCUGGGAAAGCGCCCACGUGGCGCAGAAUUAGAGGCGGAGCCUACACGUUCUCAUCCAUAUGAGCAUAGGGCUUCAUGUUACUGUGCCGAGUCCUCCUUCCGCCCACGGCCCUCUCCUCCCGGCCAGUGGUCCUCUGCCUGAACAUGGCCGACUUUGUCUUCAGUUUCCUCUGCAUCGGCAUUGGGCUCCUGAUUUCUCUUCAGCCUGACGCUCUUUUCAGUUAACUGCAAGGCGGUGCACCCGAGUCCGGUGGUGUCCUACCUGGUGACCUCCUACCUGUGCUGGGACGCCAGCGACUUGAUGCUGCACACCGCAGGGCACAGCGAGGCGGACAUCCAAACAGCGGAACUCAGACACAGACUCUGAGCACACCCUGGGCCUUCCCAUUUCAUACACCCUCGAGGAUGAGACCCAAGCACCUCCAAGGAAUAGCACCCGAGCUCUUCAGGACACUGACCGGUAGCCAUGGCCAGAUGCCAGGCCAACCCCUUCAGCGUGGCCACGCCCCGGAUAUUCGACCUCCCCUGAGGCCCCACCCCCUGAUAUCAGGCCACGCCCUCCGAGGGGACCAGUGGCAAACUCCAACCCUCGCUCUAGGGCCCGCCCUUUGUGGCUUUGUCCCUGCCCACUGGGUCCUCACAGUACCCCCACCCCAUAAGUCCAGCAUCCCCUCCCGUUCUGCAGACACUUGUCCAGCGUCCCGCUAAGCUCGGCAGUGUGGCUAGUUUGUGUGGCCCUGCCCCUGGUGCCCAGCCUUCCCAGGCCACACCCUGAAGCCACUCUCCACCCCCUCAGCCAGGGUGGUCUGCAUGGAACUUGCUUCCCGGAGUUCCAGCCUCAGCUCCGAUGUCCACCCUUGUCCCCAGGUGGACACAGCACCGCCCAGCAUUUGGUGCAACUCCACCCUUCUGCGGAACGGGCCCCUUCCUGGGAAGGCAUGGCUUGCAAUAACAUCCCUCUGUACCUUUUCUGGCUUCCCCGCCACAAUAAAACACGGGCACUUGCUAA